GAGUGAGUAGUGAACAGAACAUUCCUUGGUAUUGGUCCUGAAAAAAAGGCAAAAGAUUGUAAGUUCAACAGAUAACAGGAAAUAGCAAUGAAGGCUGGAAGACUAAGUUCCUCUUUGGAGGAGAUGAAGGAAAGCAGCGCUGGAUUCUCUCCCAGUCAUCCCACCUUAAGGAACUACCUAAAAAGGAGUAACCCUGAAACCACAUGAACUUCAGGAAUAUUCAGACACCUGCCUCAUUGCCUGGGGAAGGGUGGAGGAGGAAUGAAUUGCAUCUGCCCAACCUGGCUCUCCUUGUCUCGCCAGUAGUUGCACAGAGAGCAGAGUCUGUGUGGAGGCAGAAGGGAAGGCAUGUGGUGAGCAAAGUGACCUUCCUGUUGCCAUUCCUUUAAAUCUGCUCAGCAGGGAGAUUCACCCCUGAAAUGCCUGAAGCAGCAGCUGAAGCUCAGACCAACUGCUGGGCGAGCCAGCCACUCUCCAAACUGCUGAACAACCGCUGCCCCUGAGGAGUCCCAAAAUGCUCCUGAAUCCAGAUCACCCUCUACUUUCCCAUAAAAAUGAUAAAUGUCGCUGGGAACGAAAAUGCACAAGGCAAGAAACCCAGGAACUGUCGGCGGUCUUGGCAUAAGCUUGAAGAGCCGGGCAGGGCAGGGACAGAAUGGGAGCGUGUUAGAUCCAUCUGUGAAGACUGAGGUUCCCUGCAUCCAUACUUUAAAGAGCUUUGUCCAAUGUCUAUUUACUUUAUCUUGUAACCCCUUUUCGCCCUCCAGCCUAUGCAGAUUCUCCUUCUUCCGCAAGAGAACCUGGGAAGAAGGCAGGGGGUGCUUCCAGGAUGCCCGGCCCCAGAGAAGGCUCCCCAAGGCUCUCAAACAGCCUUCUGGCCUGGAGGCUUUUGCCAGGAAAGAAAUAAAAUGGUUCCAGUGACUCACCUGGUGUUUGUCAGGCGGAGGCUGACCUCGGUGGAUCCACA